rnacentral:tRNA from 1 species
GCCGGGGUGGCAGAGAGGCACUGCGGUGGACUCGAGAUCCACUGCCCGCAAGGGCACCUGGGUUCAAGUCCCAGCCCCGGCG